rnacentral:lncRNA from 1 species
CACCCCUCCCCCCCAACACAAGACAGAGGCAGAGAAAUGCUGGAACUUUAGCAUUUUAAUCGUUUCUCUCCCGGAGCCGAGGGCGCGCGCUGGAGGCAGCUCAGAACUGGAUCACUUGUCCCUUUCUCUUCUUGUCUCCUCCCAGCUCGAAAUGCUUGCAGCGCUUGAUGGCCAGCAUCCUCUUGGACCUGCAGUUGGGCUCCACGCACUCGAGCCUCAGCACGAUCUUCUUGGUGGUCUUGGCCUUCUUGCGGAAGAUGGGCUUGGUCUGGCCGCCGUAGCCGCUCUGCUUGCGGUCGUAGCGGCGCUUGCCCUGCGCGUACAGGGAGUCCUUGCCCUUCUUGUACUGCGUCACCUUGUGCGGCUGGUGCUUGCCGCACUUCUUGCAGUAGGUGCGCCGGGUCUUGGGCACGUUCACCAUGGCGGCGGCGGCGGCGGCGUCUGCGGAGGCGGCGGCAAAGGAGGAGCUUCCCAACUCCGCUUCACACGGGGCCGGGCUUCUCUUCGGCUUUUCAGCGGCACGAAAGACACGGGAGGAGACGGAAAAAGAGUUCUGAGGGAAAAGCUGCCAGAGCUGAGCGGAGCUCAGCGCGCGCCGACACGAGGCUCUCGGAAAGGAAGGAAGGAAGGGCUGAAGUGCCUUUCUAUUGGCCCGCUCGGGGCGGAAGCGAACAGGAAGCGGAUGUUACCCAGAGGGCAAAGCGCGCUGAGUAGUCCAAAGCUCUUGUAACUUCUGACGAAAGUGCGGAAAUGCUCGGGGAACUCUAUUCUCGGCUGCUUUUCUUGGGACGAAUGUGCUGCUGGGAUAUUGGCGAGCUAUUUACCCUAAUGCUUGAUUGGCGGAGAUUGCUGCGGGUGGAGGCGGGCGUGGUUGCCGUAGCUUGCUCUAGGUCGCCAUGGUGAUGAUGGUUUCGGAAAGCCUCGCUGCAACAUAAUAUAGUGGAUGGAAUUUCUGGUUUCAGAGUCAGAAGAUAAAUUCAAGUCAUGCUUGUGAUACAAAUAACCUGGGUAAGACCCUUAAAAUGUGAGUGUUGUAGG